CAGGCGUGGUGGUGCACACUAUAAUUCCAGAGCCUGGGAGGCUGAGCCAGGGGAAUUGUCUGAAGUUCAAGGCCAGCCUGGGCUACAGUGAGUUCAAGGUCGGCCUGAGCUAUACAGCAAGACCCUGUCUCAAAAAUUUUAAAAAAAGAAUUCAGUAGCUAAAGAGUUUGUCUUGCGGAAGCCAACGGAAAAGAACGUUUGCCGAAGGAGAAAGCAGACGCCAGGGUUCAGGAAGGUGAGUGAUGAUCUCAGCCAGGACUCCCAGUGGGAAGCCAGCAGGAGAAGCUGAAGAGAAAGUGAAGGGAAAAUGUGGCUGAGCGAGGCUGCGUUUGGCUGUGAGGAGGAAUGAGAUAAAGGCAGAGGCCAGAGGAGGCUAAUGAGCACUCCUGGGUGAAGCCGUGCUGGGGCCUCCCCCACCAUCCAGAUCUCCAGGCACCAGCUGGGUUCACUCCUGACCCAACCUGGAUGCAGCGCCCAACUCUCAGCACUCCUACACCCGAGGGUCCUCCUACAAACCUCCAUGGUACAGAUCCAUGAGCAAACUUGGCCGCCCCAUGCCAUCAUGAGACACAAACACAAAACGUACAAGGGUAAGCAAAACUUUUGGUGCAUAUUUAAGAAUUUAUCAGAGU
rnacentral:lncRNA from 1 species